UAUACGGUAGUUCAGUUGGUUAGAAUACAUGCCCGGCCGACGCUCGGUGUCACGGGUUCGAGUCCCGCCGGUAUGC
rnacentral:tRNA from 1 species